UUUUAUACUCUUUGUUUCCGCUUUCAGUAAUUUCCUAAUUAUCAUGUAUGUGCACGUAGAUCCUUUGAUUUUGAGUGUGACGUUGCUGAUACCAAUUAUUUCGUUGCUUGUCUGUAAUUUGGUGAUAUCAUGCAUGUGCACUGAUCCUGAUUUAAUUUGAGCUUGACGUUGUUGAUCUUCGGAACAGACUAUUUGGGUGCUUCUCAGCCAAAUACUGUGAUAUAGGGAGUGUGAAGUUGGUUAACCUCCUGUUCAAAUAUUUGGAAGAAAAACUUUUAACUUGAUGCCUGCGCCGAUUGGUUCUGUGAACUUGGAAUCCGUAAGGACUCUUCAUCUGUUCUUAAGUUCUCACUGACUUGUCGUGUAAUCAAGGACAACUUGUCCUUUCUUCCUUUGUAUUCUUCCACAAGUGAAGAGCGAAGAAUUUAUCUUUUUUCUACUAUAUGUUUAGUGUAUAAAAGAUAUGUAGCAUCAUGAAGCAGCUCUGCGUCGUGGAAAUUCGUAUUCUACUGUCCUUAUUGUUUGUGGAUCUUUGAAUACCUUGGAAUUAAAAGAUGAAAGAAGGAACCUCAUCUGUGAUUAACUCGUGAAAGUGGUGGUUUUGUUUGUUGCAGUCUUAUUAGGAGAUUUCAACCCUCCUUUCUGUUCUCUCUGCAGGUUCAAAGUGAAUUUCAAAAGGCAUAUGAGAAAGGGAUUCACAAAUCAAAGUGAGCCCGUUUGUUGCAACCUUAUUAGGAGAUUUCAACCCUCAUUUCUGUUCUCUCUGCAGGUUCUAAGUGAAUUUCAAAAGGCAUAUGAGAAAGGGAUUCACAAGUCAAAGUGAGCCUCGUCAAAGCCAUCUCUUGAAGCUGAUUAUUCGUUUUCCA
rnacentral:lncRNA from 1 species